AAGCCAUGCAUGUCUAAGUAUAAGCAAUUUAUACAGCGAAACUGCGAAUGGCUCAUUAAAUCAGUUAUCGUUUAUUUGAUAGUUCCUUUACUACAUGGUAUAACUGUGGUAAUUCUAGAGCUAAUACAUGCUUAAAAUCUCGACCCUUUGGAAGAGAUGUAUUUAUUAGAUAAAAAAUCAAUGUCUUCGGACUCUUUGAUGAUUCAUAAUAACUUUUCGAAUCGCAUGGCCUUGUGCUGGCGAUGGUUCAUUCAAAUUUCUGCCCUAUCAACUUUCGAUGGUAGGAUAGUGGCCUACCAUGGUUUCAACGGGUAACGGGGAAUAAGGGUUCGAUUCCGGAGAGGGAGCCUGAGAAACGGCUACCACAUCCAAGGAAGGCAGCAGGCGCGCAAAUUACCCAAUCCUAAUUCAGGGAGGUAGUGACAAUAAAUAACGAUACAGGGCCCAUUCGGGUCUUGUAAUUGGAAUGAGUACAAUGUAAAUACCUUAACGAGGAACAAUUGGAGGGCAAGUCUGGUGCCAGCAGCCGCGGUAAUUCCAGCUCCAAUAGCGUAUAUUAAAGUUGUUGCAGUUAAAAAGCUCGUAGUUGAACUUUGGGCCCGGUUGGCCGGUCCGAUUUUUUCGUGUACUGGAUUUCCAACGGGGCCUUUCCUUCUGGCUAACCUUGAGUCCUUGUGGCUCUUGGCGAACCGGGACUUUUACUUUGAAAAAAUUAGAGUGUUCAAAGCAGGCGUAUUGCUCGAAUAUAUUAGCAUGGAAUAAUAGAAUAGGACGUUUGGUUCUAUUUUGUUGGUUUCUAGGACCAUCGUAAUGAUUAAUAGGGACGGUCGGGGGCAUCAGUAUUCAAUUGUCAGAGGUGAAAUUCUUGGAUUUAUUGAAGACUAACUACUGCGAAAGCAUUUGCCAAGGACGUUUUCAUUAAUCAAGAACGAAAGUUAGGGGAUCGAAGAUGAUCAGAUACCGUCGUAGUCUUAACCAUAAACUAUGCCGACUAGGGAUCGGGUGGUGUUUUUUUUAAUGACCCCACUCGGCACCUUACGAGAAAAUCAAAGUCUUUGGGUUCUGGGGGGAGUAUGGUCGCAAGGCUGAAACUUAAAGGAAUUGACGGAAGGGCACCACCAGGAGUGGAGCCUGCGGCUUAAUUUGACUCAACACGGGGAAACUCACCAGGUCCAGACACAAUAAGGAUUGACAGAUUGAGAGCUCUUUCUUGAUUUUGUGGGUGGUGGUGCAUGGCCGUUCUUAGUUGGUGGAGUGAUUUGUCUGCUUAAUUGCGAUAACGAACGAGACCUUAACCUACUAAAUAGUGGUGCUAGCAUUUGCUGGUUAUCCACUUCUUAGAGGGACUAUCGGUUUCAAGCCGAUGGAAGUUUGAGGCAAUAACAGGUCUGUGAUGCCCUUAGACGUUCUGGGCCGCACGCGCGCUACACUGACGGAGCCAGCGAGUCUAACCUUGGCCGAGAGGUCUUGGUAAUCUUGUGAAACUCCGUCGUGCUGGGGAUAGAGCAUUGUAAUUAUUGCUCUUCAACGAGGAAUUCCUAGUAAGCGCAAGUCAUCAGCUUGCGUUGAUUACGUCCCUGCCCUUUGUACACACCGCCCGUCGCUAGUACCGAUUGAAUGGCUUAGUGAGGCCUCAGGAUCUGCUUAGAGAAGGGGGCAACUCCAUCUCAGAGCGGAGAAUUUGACAAACUUGGUCAUUUAGAGGAACUAAAAGUCGUA
rnacentral:rRNA from 1 species